ensembl:lncRNA
UGCAAACAUUGUGAUCGAUCGUUCAGUGACCAUUUGAUUUCCUGUCACUUGACCAACCAAUCAACCAGCUGAUCAUGUCAGCUGCACAAAUCAGCUCAAGUGGAGUCUAGCUGCAGCAUGCGGGUCUGCCGUGCCCUCUGCGCUUGUUUUCACUGUCAUCAUUGGGAACGACGUGAUAGCAUCAAACCCCGGCCUCAGCGAAUUCACUGAAAAACAUCACAACAUCGUCUCUAUGGAGACAAUCAGAGGAGACUGUAAUUGAAAAAGCAAAAAAAAAAAACACAGCAGCAGCAAUUGCCAUACGACAAAGUCUGUGAAAUAAUGUCCGGGGGUCAGACUCAUCCGUCAUCCAGGCAGAGCUGAGAAGACGUGAAACAACAAUGCCAACAACGUCAUUUCACACCUCAACGUUUACACUGCCAGUUACGAACAUCCAACAGCAGGACAAUGAUCU